rnacentral:lncRNA from 1 species
AAACGAACAAGCUUUCCGAAUGAACAGCUCAGGGACAGCGAUGGGCCUUUAAGGGAAGGCUGGAGGAUUUGGGGGCGGCACCCCGGGAACAAUUUGCGGUGCAGAGCUCCACCUAAGCCUGUUGCCCGCGUCCGAGCGGGGACCGGCGCCGGGCGAAUCCUCGGGCUCCCCGGGUCUCGGUCUCUCGGUCUCUCGGUCGGGCGCUCGGCGGCCCGGGGCCUGGGGUUGCCCCGCCCACGUCCCGCCCGGGGCCGCUCGGGGGCCGGGCCAGCCCGCAGGUGCGGGUCCUCGGGUCCUCCGGUCCUCCGGGCGGCGGGGGCGGGGCCCGGGCGGCGGGGGCGGGGCCUGGGCGGCGGGCCCGGCGGGGGGGCGGGCGGCGCACGUGCGGGCCGGGCGGGCGGGGAUCCCCGGCGCCGGGGGCGGGGCACCCGGAAGCGCGCGGAGCGGCCACGCGGGGCCGGCGGGUGGCGGGCGGCGGGCGGCGGGGAGGCGGGGAGACGGGGAGACGGGGAGGCGGGCGCACCGCCGGGGCCGGGGCCGGGGCCGGGGCCGGGGCCAGCCGUGCGCACAGGUGGGCGGCGGCGCGGAGCCGGGGCCCCCGGAGCCCCGCGGAGCCGAGCUCUGCAGACGCGGCCGCGCCUCGGGGGGAGCCGGCCGAGGUCGCCCCCGCGUCGGCCUCGGGCUGCCGCCGCACCUCGGCCCCGGAGCGCAGGUAACUUCCCUUCCAAGGUCAUCCGUGGGGCGGGGCGGGGCGGGGCGGGGCGGGGCGGCGCUCGCGGGCGGCGGGGACGGGGGCGGGACAGGGGCGCGGGCCGGACGGCGACCCGGGGCGCUGCGCCGCCGCCCCCGCCGCCCCCGCCGCGCCCCCCGGAGGGCGAGUUUGCACCUGCGCGGGGCCGUCCCCGCCGGCGCCGGCAGGUGAGCUGUGGGGCCCGCGCGGUCGGCCGGCCCGGCGGGGAGCGAGGGAGCCCGGGCGCCGGCGGCCCGGCUGGGAAGGGGCGGCGGGGGCGGCGGGGGCGCCCGGACCCGGGUCGGGCCGAGCCGAGCGGAGCCGGGAACGCCUGGCGAACACGAGACUCCCCCCUCCCUCCCCCCCCCUCCCCUUCCCCCUCCCCUCCCCCUCCCCCUCCCGGUUGCUCUUUCAGGCGUCGGCGGAUAAUCCGGGAGCGGCGUGCGUGCGUACGAGGUAGGAGCCGAGCGCUCUGCACCUUUGCCUGCUGCGGGCUCCUCGCACCU